GGGUGGGCGGCAGCUGCUGACCCGCCCUGCGGCACCCCAUAAGCUGACCAGUGGGGCCGCGUCCUGCGGUUGGCCCGCUUGUCAGUGGGUUGUGCGGGUGCACAUGGAGCCAGCGAGCAGGAGAGGACGGCAGGGCGGUUGAUGGGUUGCCCUUCCUUGGAUUCUGGCGAGGGCCGCGCCCAAGCAGCGCGCGCGAUGGGGCCGGCGGCAGCGGCGCCUGCGCCUGUACACCGACGUGCGGCACCCUGUGCAGCUGAGCGGUGGGGCCCCGCUUCGCCGUGGCUGGCGUCGGUCCUCUCUAGGCGCGAGCCGGAUGAGGUGGUCGGCGACAGCGCCUCUACACCGGCGUGUGCUCCCCGGGCUGCUGAGCGGCCCGCUUCGCCGUGGCUGGCGUCGGCCUCUGGGUGUUGCCGCCGCAAGGAGGCGAGGGGCCAGACGCGCGCGGGAUGGCCGUAUGGGGCGGUCGACGGCCGCUGGCACCGCAACAGCAGCUUGCGUUGCAGUCCUUUGGUGAACAUCCUCAUCCUCCCAAUCUCCUUUGCUCCCAAUCCAUCCUCCUCUCCCUUCUGUUUCUAGGAUUCGGGUUUCAUAUCUUUGUCGUCACAGAUCUACUCAAGCCUGCUUCUUCUUUUCCUCCAAGGUGUUAGAUCUGAUGGUGGAAAUACGAUUUAAUUUGGAAAGGGAAGAAACCCAGUGCGAUAUUUGUUAGAUCAAGUAUGAACCAGCAUGUUGUUGUUUUUCUGCCAUCUUUUCCCGCGACACUUGCCUGACCAAAUGCUCUUGAAGUAUAAAUUGAUAAUGCGUCAGCAAAUGGAGAAAUCUAAUAUUUUGUUCAUGCUAUAGAACUUUUUUUGGUGAUCAAGAGUGAAGGUUUCUCAUGAUUGUUAUCGUGCUAUAAUAAUUAUUUUCUCAUGAUUACAGUGGACGAUUCAUUCAGGUUCUUUGACACUUGUUUUUACACCAGAGCAGGUGAGAUGCCGAUGAGACCAGAGCAGGUGCCAUGCCUUUCUACUAAAAUGGUUAUGUGCAUUCAGCAGUCCUUCCGGUAUUUUUUGAUUAGCUUACUCGGGAGAACUGCAUAGGUUUGUUCUACCUACAGCAUAGGAUCUAAAAUAAUGCAGUGUGGAUUUAUUUAUUUUCUAAUGAAACAGAUCUCAAAAUCUUUUUGUGUAAUCUGUGAAAAUUUGCCACUGCUGUUUAUAUAUACGAGAUCACUCUCAUAUGUAAGAUAUGUUACAAAACCUUCGUAAAUCUGUCCUUGUUACAAAUAAGCAAACACAUUCAUAAAUGCACUAUCUAAUCUUAAUGAUAUUUUUGGACCAUAUUGCCGUGUAUAAAUAGUUUAUGUUCAAGUAUGUGCUUCGGGUUCGUCACUUUGAUAUCUUGGAUUGGUGUACAUCUCCACCCGUGCUGGCAGCAUAGGAGACUGUGAGUACUGAGAUGGGUGAUCAAGAGGACAUCUCACACAAGUUCGAUCUGACUCAAUGUUUGUGGCCUUGGAUAGGAGGCUGAGUCAAUCGUUAACAUGUUGAUGAUGUACUUGCUGCCGGAUGUGGUGGUUUUGUAUUGAAUUUAUCUUAUACCAUGUAUAUAGUUUGUCACUGUUUAUUACAUUAUGGUUAU